rnacentral:rRNA from 2 species
CUUUGCUGACGAGCGGCGGACGGGUGAGUAAUGCUUGGGAACAUGCCUUGAGGUGGGGGACAACAGUUGGAAACGACUGCUAAUACCGCAUAAUGUCUACGGACCAAAGGGGGCUUCGGCUCUCGCCUUUAGAUUGGCCCAAGUGGGAUUAGCUAGUUGGUGAGGUAAUGGCUCACCAAGGCGACGAUCCCUAGCUGGUUUGAGAGGAUGAUCAGCCACACUGGGACUGAGACACGGCCCAGACUCCUACGGGAGGCAGCAGUGGGGAAUAUUGCACAAUGGGCGCAAGCCUGAUGCAGCCAUGCCGCGUGUGUGAAGAAGGCCUUCGGGUUGUAAAGCACUUUCAGUCAGGAGGAAAGGUUAGUAGUUAAUACCUGUUAGCUGUGACGUUACUGACAGAAGAAGCACCGGCUAACUCCGUGCCAGCAGCCGCGGUAAUACGGAGGGUGCGAGCGUUAAUCGGAAUUACUGGGCGUAAAGCGUACGCAGGCGGUUUGUUAAGCGAGAUGUGAAAGCCCCGGGCUCAACCUGGGAACUGCAUUUCGAACUGGCAAACUAGAGUGUGAUAGAGGGUGGUAGAAUUUCAGGUGUAGCGGUGA